AUUGAACGCUGGCGGCAGGCCUAACACAUGCAAGUCGAGCGGAUGAGAGGAGCUUGCUCCUCGAUUCAGCGGCGGACGGGUGAGUAAUGCCUAGGAAUCUGCCUAGUAGUGGGGGACAUCGUUUCGAAAGGAACGCUAAUACCGCAUACGUCCUACGGGAGAAAGGGGGGGAUCUUCGGACCUCACGCUAUUAGAUGAGCCUAGGGCGGAUUAGCUAGUUGGUAGGGUAAAGGCCUACCAAGGCGACGAUCCGUAACUGGUCUGAGAGGAUGAUCAGUCACACUGGAACUGAGACACGGUCCAGACUCCUACGGGAGGCAGCAGUGGGGAAUAUUGGACAAUGGGCGAAAGCCUGAUCCAGCCAUGCCGCGUGUGUGAAGAAGGCCUUCGGGUCGUAAAGCACUUUAAGUUGGGAGGAAGGGCUCAUAGCGAAUACCUGUGAGUUUUGACGUUACCAACAGAAUAAGCACCGGCUAACUUCGUGCCAGCCGCCGCCGUAAUAC
rnacentral:rRNA from 1 species